rnacentral:rRNA from 1 species
GGUGAACGCUGGCGGUAGGCUUAACGCAUGCAAGUCGAACGGCAGCACAGUAAUUGCUUGCUCGUACGGGUGGCGGGUGGCGGACGGGUGGGGAAUACAUCGGAAUCUACCUUUUAGUGGUGGAUAACGUAGGGAAACGUUCGCUAAUACGGCAUACUACCGACGGGUGAAAGCAGGGGAUCUUCGGACCUUGCGCGAUUUAAUGAGCCGAUGUCGGAUGAGGUAGUUGGCGGGGUAAAGGCCCACCGAGGCGACGAGCCGUAGCGGGGCUGAGAGGAUGAUCGGCCUCACUGGAGCUGAGAGACGGGCCACACUCCUCCGGGAGGCGGCGGUGUGGAAUAUUGGACAAUGGGGGCGAGAGUGAUCCAGCCAGACCGCGUGGGUGAAGAAGGCCUUCUGGGUUUAAGAACCUUUUGUUGGGGAAGAAAAGCUGCAGGUUUAUGCCGCGCUGUUCUGACGGUACCCAAAGAAUAAGCACCGGCUAACUUCGUG